rnacentral:rRNA from 1 species
AUUGAACGCUGGCGGCAGGCCUAACACAUGCAAGUCGAACGAGUGGCGGACGGGUGAGUAAUGUCUGGGAAACUGCCUGAUGGAGGGGGAUAACUACUGGCAACGGUAGCUAAUACCGCAUACAAUCAGAUGUGCCCAGAGGGGAUUAGCUAGGAGGUGGGGUAAUGGCUCACCUAGGCGACGAUCCCUAGCUGGUCUGAGAGGAUGACCAGCCAAGAGGGAACGGAGAAACGGUCCAGACGCGUACGGGAGGCAGCAGAGGGGAAUAUUGCACGAUGGGGGCAAGCCUGAUGCAGCCAGGCCGCGUGUGUGAAGAAGGCCUUCGGGUUGUAAAGCAAUUGCAGCGAGGAGGCGUUACUCGCAGAAGAAGCACCGGCUAACUCCGUGCCAGCAGCCGCGGUAAUAC